GUAGGGAAUCUUCCACAAUGGACGAAAGUCUGAUGGAGCAACGCCGCGUGAGUGAAGAAGGUUCUCGGAUCGUAAAACUCUGUUGUGAGGGAAGAACAAGUACCGGAGUAACUGCCGGUACCUUGACGGUACCUCAUUAGAAAGCCACGGCUAACUACGUGCCAGCAGCCGCGGUAAUACGUAGGUGGCAAUCGUUGUCCGGAAUCAUUGGGCGUAAAGCGCGCGCAGGCGGUCCCUUAAGUCUGAUGUGAAAGCCCACGGCUCAACCGUGGAGGGUCAUUGGAAACUGGGGGACUUGAGUGCAGAAGAGGAAAGCGGAAUUCCAAGUGUAGCGGUGAAAUGCGUAGAGAUUUGGAGGAACACCAGUGGCGAAGGCGGCUUUCUGGUCUGUAACUGACGCUGAGGCGCGAAAGCGUGGGGAGCAAACAGGAUUAGAAACCCUGGUAGUCC
rnacentral:rRNA from 1 species